GCGGCCCCGGCCCGCGGUCCCCGGGAGAGGCCGCGGCGAGCGCCUCUCGAUCGGCGCUGAGGGCGCGGCGAGCACCGGGAGGGGGGCUCGGCCCGAGCAGGGAAGGGAGGGGAAAGUCCCCCCCAGCCUCCUGGAGGCUGUUACGAGGAUUGGGAGUAAGAUCAGCUCUUCCCUCUGGAGAACUACUCACUGGAGAAGCAGUUUUCCUGGAAGAACCCAUUUGUGAUUGUUUUUUCUUUCUUUUACAACCAGCAAUUCUAUUAUAUCAUAAGCCAGUGUAAUAAAGUACAACAGCAUCAAGCUUAGUCCAGCCCCCAGAGGUGAUAAACAGCACAAAGGCAACUUGGACACCAAGGACAUCAUCACAUGACACAAACGUGAGAACAAGCACAACAACUGAGAACAACACUGUGACCACUGACUAUUAAAUUAAUUAAUUCAUUAAUAUAAUGAAUGCUUGUAACAAAUCUGUUUUACACACUCUGGUCAGAUCUGUUGUUAUCUCCACCCUUCAUGCCCCACAUUGGGCUCCAAAAAGAUCUGUCACAGUUUAACUCCACUAGCAAUUAGGUACCAGGCAACUGCUCAUUCACCACCCUCACUUCCUGCUGGGAUGGGGAAGAGGAUGGGAAUAAAAGGGCAAAACUCAUGGGUUGAAGUAAGAACAAUUUAAUAACUGAAAUAAAAUAUAAUAAAUAAUAAUACUACAACUGUAACGAAAAGAUGACAAAGGGAAUGAGAAAUAAAACCCAGCAGACAGGUGAUGCGCACUACAGGUGCUCAAUGCAGCCUGACUGAUGCCCAGAAUGUCCCCAAGCAGCAAUUGGCUCCUGGCCAGCUUCCCCCAUGUCUGUGCUUGGCACAGUGUUCUGUGGUAUGGAAUGUCCCUUGGGCCAAUUUGGGUCAGCUGUCCCAGCCCUGCUCCCUCCCAGCUCUUUCUACACCUGCCUGCUGCCAGAGCAUGGGAAACUGGAAAACUUUUAACUUAGAGCAAGCAGGAUUUAGCAACAACUAAAACAUCAGUUUGUUACCAACAUUAUUCUCUCACUGCCUCCAAAACACAGCCCUGGACCAGCUAUUAGGAGGAAAGUUAACUCCCAGCUGAAACCAGGACACAGAUUAAAGCUAAAAUCCUGCAACCAUUAUGAUUUUAAAACCCAGCAGGGCUCCAGAUGUGUUUUAUUAAUUACUGCUAUAAUAAAAAAAUGGUGUAUUCAACCAGAACAUCCAUGUUUGUUUUAAUAUGAAUUCAUUGUAUAAUCAACAGGUUUUAAGAUAACAUCAAAUGUCUCAAAAUUGCUUUCAGCAUCCAGGCUCUCUUCCAAGAAAUUCAGUUGGAUCACAUAAAAAUAAAUACUGAGGUUUCAAUUAUCAA